AGAUAAUAGAUACCCCGGUAGUCCACGCCCUAAACGAUGGAUGCUAGGCGUAGGAGGUAUCGACCCCUCCUGUGCCGCAGCUAACGCAUUAAGCAUCCCGCCUGGGGACUACGGCCGCAAGGUUGAAACUCAAAUGAAUUGACGGGGACCCGCACAAGCGGUGGAGCAUGUGGAUUAAUUCGAUACUAACCGAAGAACCUUACCCAGGUUUGACAUCGAGGGUAAGCCUAUGAAAGUAGGCCCUCUCCCACAAGGUGACCCGAAGACAGAUGUUGCAUGGCUGUCGUCAGCUCGUGCCGUGAGGUGUACGGUUAAGUCCGCCAACGAGCGCAACCCCCGUCGUGUGUUACCAGCGAGUAAAGUCGGGAACUCACACGAGACCGCCGGUGUAAGCCGGAGGAAGGUGGGGAUGACGUCAAGUCAGCAUGGCUCUUACGCCUGGGGCUUCACACAUGCUACAAUGGGCGCAACAGAGGGAAGCAAUACCGUGAGGUGGAGCAAAUCCCAAAAUACGCCCCAGUUCAGAUUGCAGU
rnacentral:rRNA from 1 species